rnacentral:misc_RNA from 1 species
CGCUGAGUAGCCCUGACCGGUCGCCUACGACGACACCGGGGACGAAGAAUGAGGCCGCGGCAGCGACGAAAGCGGGGAAGUAAAGGGCAAACAUUCCGACCCUACUGGAGAGCAUCAUCUCCUUGCCCUUCUUGGCGGGGUUGGCGUUCCAGAACUUUGAGUACUGGAGGUGUUUGCCCCGGACCUCUGAGAUCCCCAAGUUAGCGAGGGAGGUGACGCUCACCACCGACAUGGCCGUGAUGAAGAUCGACGGCGGUGGUGAG